CCUACGGGCGGCAGCAGUGGGGAAUAUUGGGCAAUGGGCGCAAGCCUGACCCAGCAACGCCGCGUGAAGGAAGAAGACUUUCGGGUUGUAAACUUCUUUUCUCAGGGACGAAGCAAGUGACGGUACCUGAGGAAUAAGCCACGGCUAACUACGUGCCAGCAGCCGCGGUAAUACGUAGGUGGCAAGCGUUAUCCGGAUUUACUGGGUGUAAAGGGCGUGUAGGCGGGAAAGCAAGUCAGAUGUGAAAACCAUGGGCUCAACCUGUGGCCUGCAUUUGAAACUGUUUUUCGUGAGUACUGGAGAGGCAGACGGAAUUCCUAGUGUAGCGGUGAAAUGCGUAGAGAUUAGGAGGAACACCAGUGGCGAAGGCGGUCUGCUGGACAGCAACUGACGCUGAGGCGCGAAAGCGUGGGGAGCAAACAGGAUUAGAUACCCGAGUAGUC
rnacentral:rRNA from 1 species